rnacentral:lncRNA from 1 species
AUAUCUUUAAAAAAACUCAGAAACAUCAGAUUAAGACAAGGUAAGUUAAGUGUAUACACGAACAGUGUAUAUUUAAAAAAUCUAACGAUUAGAGUGGAGUUAAGGAAAUAGGUGAGUCACAAAGUUUCACAAAAAAAAGCGAAUAGGUAUUUCACGAAAUUAACAUGACAUUGAAAAACUGAACAGUACAUGUUUAAUAUUUUUCAAAAAUCUACCGAAUGAUACUAAACACGACCCCACAAAGGGGAUGGGGGAUAACUUUAGAAUUUUAAAUAGGAACCCUGCAAUAUUUCGAAAUGAAAAUCAUAUUGAAAAACUGAAAAAUGUGUUUAAUAUUUUUCAAAAAUCUAUUGAAUGACACCAAACACAACCCCCCAAGGAGAUACUUUAAAAUUUUAAAUAAGAACCCCCAUUUUUUAUUGCAGAUUUGGAUUGCUUAUGUAAAAAUAAGUAACUUUUAUUCGAGACAUUUUUUCGAAUUAAGGAUAAGGAAGUUAAAAGCUGAAAUAACUAUUUUUGGAAAAGGAAAAUUAAAUUAAAAAAUGGUAAAGUUCCCACUAAAAUGGAAAACUUCACAUUUUUUGGUUUAAGGACAUUAUCUUCAUAACUCAAUAGGUCCCCAUGAUGCUCUAGUAACUGCAAAUUGAGUAUCCAAUGCUCCCCUACUAUAAAAAUAUUAGUUAAUCUGUAGCUUAUGUAUUUCAAUCAUCUAUCUAAAUAAACAUCAUUUCCAGUAAAAUCAAACAAACCAUUAUUUCUGUCAUCAAUAAAAUUAAGUUUGCAGGAAUCAAAAAUUAUGUUAUUGUAAACAGAGAAUAUUGUAGUAAACAUGCAAUGUACCUAUACAGCACAGUCCAUAAGGAGGAUACAGUGCCUAAAGAAUACAUAAAAAUUGGAUGCCAAGAUGUAAAACGUAUCUAAGCGAAAAUAUACUUAGUUUAUCCACAAUAUUUAAAUUAUAAAAUUCAAAUAAAAGUACCUACAUAUUUU